UUACAUGGAGACUUGACAGUUGCAUUGACAACACAGUCUUAAAAGACUACUCAAUCAAGCUCAAGAGAAAAAUAAUUCACUAGCACCCUGCUUGCUAGAGUCAGAUAUUUUUAUCUACUGAAACAGGACAAACUGAUAUUUUAAAGCUUCCCAUUUGCUUUUGCAUGUGUUCAUUUUACAUUUUGCUUUUGCUGAGAAAUGUUAUAAAUUAGCCAUGGAAACACUACUUCUUCCAGUCUAUGGAUUUACUAGGAUCAACAUGUUGCCAUCAUCCAAGAGAUCAAGAGGAUGCCCAUCAUUUCUAAUACUUUAAGAGUUUCACAGAACGGAUGGGGAAAGAUUUUGCUUCUGUCCUGCUGACCCAAGCCCCUGAUAUCUAAGGAGCAAGAGAAGACUACAACAAGCUGGCUUCACUCCCAGCCAUUCCAUGACAGAGCAAAUUGUCACAGUGCAACAGUUUAUUGAGAAGGCACAAGACUUCAAGCACCCUGUUCACAUUACAUUUAUGGAUAUCAAGAUGUAGAGUUUCCCAAAAAGACUUGAGUCGCUGGGCUGAUGCUGCCCAUCUCCUGUUCAACUGUAUGCAUUCAAGCCCACCAGAGAGCUGCUUGUGAACUCGAGGCUGGAGGAACACAAUUACUUUAAAGUGAUGCAAGCCAUUUACUAUAAUGCUACCAAUUGCACUAAACGAGGUCAGGUGGGCUAAUGAAAGGAAAAGCGGUCGUUCUAACGACAAACAUUCUGGGCCCAAACCUAAGGUGCUUUAUGCAGGGAUGCAACAGCCAAAAACAUUUUAAAUGACUAGACAAGAGGAAAAUAGCCGAAGACUGCACCCUUACGUACACCAUAAAUGAGAUUGCCACAGCUCACCACAGGUGGAGGCAAUAUGGGCAUACAAGGGGCAAGGCCAAUGGUAAACACUAAGCACGGAUCCACACAGCCACAAACCUGUGAGAGGGGAGGCAUCAGACCAUACCUACUUCUCUCCUAUGUGAUCAGUAGUAACUGGAUGCAGCCUGGCGGUGUGGCAGCCCCAGGCCUUGCUUCUGGUAGUUUGUGAACAAAGUUCUUAUAGGUUUCCCCACAUUGUGUAUACUACAUGCUAGAUUGGAGGUAUCUCUUUACCUCAUCCUCACCUCACUAACCCAGGAAUGGAAUUCAUUCCUACAACCAAACCUUGUUUGCUUGUACUAAUGUCUGGAAGACUCAUCGCACAUUACUGACUUUUAUGAAUUAGUAAGCACCCAAUCUUAUGAGGUGCUGAGUACCCUCCAUUCCCAGCAACUUCCAUGGAGUUGAGGGAACUUAGCUUCUUGCAGGAUGAGGGGCUAAGCAAAUGAGCAUGACGAAAGCAUAGAUAAUGCAUCUCACGGUGCACUUUGUUAAUUUAUUUAACAAGUGCAGUUUAGCUUUAAUUAUUUAUGAUAAUACUUCAUACUAAACUAGUAAACAUAGCAUAAUAUAUUCUGUAAAAGUAAUAAAGUCUUAGCUAUAUGAGACUGCA